UACAGAGGGUGCAAGCGUUGCUCGGAAUCAUUGGGCGUAAAGGGCAAGUAGGUGGUCUCGUUUGUCUGAGGUGAAAUCCCUGGGCUUAACCUAGGAACUGCCUCAGAAACGGCGAGACUUGAGUACUGGAGAGGGUCGCGGAAUUCCCGGUGUAGAGGUGAAAUUCGUAGAUAUUCGCAAGAACACCAGUGGCGAAGGCGGCUCACUGGCCCGAUACUGACGCUGAGGCACGAAAGCGUGGGGAGCAAACAGG
rnacentral:rRNA from 1 species